rnacentral:lncRNA from 1 species
AAGUGAGAUGGAAGCCACGUGCCUUGCCAGGAGCUUACUAACGUAAUGUGGCACCCGCCAGCCUAUUCUGCAGACAUAAUGGAAGAGAGUGUUUCCACUGCUCAUUCCACAGGCAAGCCACAGAUCCUGGCCACUCCUUGCCUUGGAGGCAGUACAGACACAUUCAUAGGGUUUGGCUCCUUUCCCUUGAGUUCUGCACCUUAAACUAAAGAAGUCAGUCACGCGAGGCUGGCUUGCUGGAACCGGCUAGAAAAUGCAGCCCUGCCUGCCGCAGGGAUCUCCUCCGGUAUGGCCACACAUAUGAGUUCUGGCAAUGCCCAUUAGUGAUAUGGCCGAUAGUUUCUUCUGUCUUGCUUCCAGGAACCUUUUCUUGGUUUGAAGCCACCGAACCAGAAGAGAGAAUUUUUACCACUUUGAGGACUUCUUGUGACGAAUCCAAUGGGAAUUCCAUAAUAUUCAGAAACAAAACAUUUUGAGGGCCAACAAAUUAUUAAGCCCUUUGCUAGGUCUUAGAGAUACAAAGAUAAAGAAGACUGGAGUUUUCUUUUUAUUAUCUACCAGACUGAAGGCCACUGCCUGGGGACUUGAUCUAAGAGAAGAAAUAUCAGGAGACCUGGGUUUGGCUCCUGGCUCUGCCAGGUGAUCAUGGAGCAGUCACGUAUUAUCCCUGAGCUUCCGUUUCCUCAUCUACUUAAUUAGUGAUGGGUCUACAGGGCCUUGCUGGGGUCCACUUCUGACAUUCUGUGUUGAUAGUUGUCCGGAAAAGGAAGAGGAUGACACUGAUGACCAGCCGUCUUGGGUGGUUCACAGGCUCACUAAGGAGGCAGUGUUGAGCCUGACGGAUCUGUGAAGGCCCCUCCGACUUGUAACUGUAAAAUGAUGACUCUUGAUGGAACUCUACAGUUGUUGACACCUGGUGGGCCACCUACAGCUGAAGGUUCAAAGUGAUAAAACAAACCUGGUACGGAAAUAACUGAUUGUGGAACGCGAAGGACCUGUGAUCAUGCAAAGGUGACAGAGCAGACACUGAUAGUAGAACUGUGGAGAAGUAUCCCUGGAGAUGACCCACAAUCUCAAGAAGGCUGAAGAGGAGAGGAAGAGAAUGGAUAAAUCGAAACAAGUGUUUAGAUGAUCAAGGCCUUAUAAGCCAUAGUAAGUUUAACAGUAAAUAAUACAUAGAGGGAAAUUUCUUCCUCUGAGUCAUAUGUGUUUAUCAGUUUUCUAUAGAUGUUGAUUGCUUUUGCCAUAUAUAAAAUUUUAUGCUUUUAUGAGACUUUUCUUAAAAAUAUCUCUUGGUCG